rnacentral:rRNA from 1 species
AUUGAACGCUGGCGGCAUGCCUUACACAUGCAAGUCGAACGGCAGCACGGGAGCAAUCCUGGUGGCGAGUGGCGAACGGGUGAGUAAAGUAUCGGAACGUGCCCAGUCGUGGGGGAUAACGUAGCGAAAGUUACGCUAAUACCGCAUACGAUCUAUGGAUGAAAGCGGGGGAUCGCAAGACCUCGCGCGAUUGGAGCGGCCGAUAUCAGAUUAGGUAGUUGGUGGGGUAAAGGCACACCAAGCCGACGUUCUGUAGAUGGUCUGAGAGGACGAGCAGGCACACUGGGACUGAGACACGGCGCAGAAGCCUACGGGAGGCAGCAGUGGGGAAUUUUGGCCAAUGGGCGAAAGCCUGAUCCAGCCAUGCCGCGUGCAGGAUGAAGGCCUUCGGGUUGUAAUCUGCUUUUGUACGGAACGAAAAGGUUUGGCCUAAUAAGCUGAGCUCAUGACGGUACCGUAAGAAUAAGCACCGGCUAACUACGUGCCAGCAGCCGCCGUAA